CUACAGCUGCCAUUGCUGGGAGUACCCUGACCUACAGCCGCCAUUUCCGGGAGCUCCCUAGCCCACCACUUUCAGUGCUCCUGCUCUCAUCCUCCACUUUCAUGAGAACCCAGCAUCCUAGUUGCAGCAUGGAGCGAAGAGUGCCUUUCCAAGAAUCUUCUAAGCCCCAGCGCCACACUCGAACUGUUGGAGAUCCAGCUUUGGGGACUAGCAGCUACCAGAUUCUUGGUCUCUUGUGUCAAAAAGCCCCAGGCAACGUCAUGGAAAAGACCACAGCUCAGUAUCGCCUAUACCAGCAUUGACUUUACAGGGUAGAGGAGGCUUCUACACUGCAGCUGUCACACUGAUAUGUGACAUGAUGACAUCACAUUGAAAUGUGACAUGGUGACAUCAUACUGAAAUGUGACACGAUGGUGUCACACUGAGAUGUGACAUAUGACUGGACUGUGGCACUGUGAAUCUCUGGAGUGGCCACAAGUCAAGCAUCUAAAUCUGGCCUUGGGAGUUUCUCUUGCGCUGGCUCCUCUCUUUGUCAGUUUCACAGUUAUCUCUUGAAGCUUUGAUCCCUGUCACCUCCACUGAAGCUACAACUGAUUUCCCACUGAACCCUGUUUGAAAUAUCUGACAAUUUUUAUCCUUUCCUCAAUUAGAAAUCCCUUUUAUAUAACCACCUCAUGUUUAAAGCUUAUAAGAAACACAGUGCAAA